UUGUGGCUGAUUGAUUUUUUUUUAUCAUCAAUGCACUUCACUGAAUCUCAAAACUGUUCAGUCGUUCAGCUCUGCAUAGAGUUAUGAAUAUGAGUGAAAUCAAAAUGUUUUGGCGUUGGAUUAUAAUAUGCAAUCAGCAAUUGCUUCAUGAGGGAACUAAAUGCCAACAGAAGUAAGAAACCUGUGCAGCCUGUUGAUGAUCCCUAUGGCACAAAUGCUGAAAUUGUUUUUGGGAAUUUCUCUGUCCCACUAGUGGACUUAUAUCCUGAAAGCAUUAAUCCAGAAGAAACAAAAUUUGGAGUUCCUGAAAGUGGAGAACAGAAUUCUGUUUCUGUGGUUGGGUAGUGCAAUACGAUGCGUAACAGAUGACAUUGGAAGCUUUUCCAUCUGAAGACAAGAUGCUUCAUCAAAGCACGUUGUAGCACUUACAGAGCAAUGAAUAUGCAAACUUCUAGUUCCUUUAGCUCAUUUUUGUUCAAUGUUUGUUUUUAUUUAAUUUUAGAAAUGGUGCUUUUCCUUUAUGUUGUAUUGUAAAAUUACAAAACUUUCUUAAAUAUGUUAUAGCUUGAUAUUCUUUAUAUUUAGUUUCUGUAAAUUACACUUGCAAAAAUUCACUUUGAAAUUAUUGAAACAUGUUGACUGAGAUGGAGGUACUGUAUAAUGGAGCAGGGAGUGUGAAGAAGAGAAACUUGCAAUUCAGUGCAGCUUUUAUGCAUUGGAGUGGCAGGACGCAGAAAAUGAUGAUCAUGGGAAGAGGGAAAAUAGUAAAGGAUCUCUGGACCCUGACAACCAGCCAAAUUGCUCUCAUAAAGCCAUAAGACAUAGGAGCAGAAUUAGGCCAUUCAGCCCAUCGAAUCUGCUCCACCAUUCCAUCAUGGCUGAUCUAUUAUCCCUCUCAAUGCCAUUCCCCUGUCUUCUAACCAUAACCUUGAAUACCCUGACUAAUCAAGAACUUAUUGACCUCCACUUUAAAUAGACACAAUACUUGGUCUCCACAGGCAUCUGUGGCAAAGAAUUAGGAGUUCCCACAAUCCAAAUUCCUCCCAAGAAUGGAGAAAACGCCAAGUCUGGGACACCAAAGGAGGGUAUAAGGGGAAUCUUGGCUGAACAGGAUACCUUAUAAGAAAGUCAUUGAUAUCUUUAUUCAAACGCUCUGUAAUCCAUGUAACUGGAACGUCACUGUUCAAAUGUGGUGAUAUCUGUUACACGUAUCCAUUGAUUUGUAUAUGACUGUAGUAUUCAUGAUCCUUCAGUGAAGUGACACCCAUUUCAAUGGAGAAUAAUAUAGCAAUAGAAGAUAUUUGAACUCAUUCUGCCCCGCACAUCUCAAUUUCACCUCAUUGCUAUUUCUAGCACUGGCUCCACUCUCCUGCCAAGCCUGCUAUGUUGUCACCAAAAUAUUGUCAAUGCUUGUGUUGGUUACAAAAACAAAUGAAGCAUUUCACUGUAAGUCUCAAUGCGCAUGUGAUAAAUAGAAUGAAUUUACAUGAAUCCUGCUUUCCUUAUAUUAAAGCUUCCACCAGUGUCUGUUUUGAAUGUACUCAGUGACAGACUGCACAGCCCUCUUAACAAGAGAAUUCUUAGGAUUCACUACCCUCUUGGUGAAGAAAUGUUCUUUGUUUCAGUCUAGAUAGGCUGUCUCUUGAUUUUUAGUCGGUGACACCAGUUUCAAACAUACAGCCAGAAGAAACAUUGUUCGAUCUCCCUGCCAAGCCCAAUAAGAAUAUGGGGUAUUUCAGUUCUUAGGCCUCUUACUUCCAGAACGUAUAGCCCAAACUGCUUAAUCCCUCAUUGUAAAACAGUCCCACCCUUUCCAUCCCAGAAUCAACUUUAUGAACUGUCAUCGCGCUUCUCCAAGAAAAUCCUUGCUCAAGUUGGGAGGGCAAACCUAAACAUUAUAUUCCUAUACACUUUCACCAGAAUCUUAUGUAAAUGUACUACAAUUACUUUAAUUUUUAUCAAAAUGAAUUUAUCUGAAGUAUUAAUACUAUAGUAAUUAUUAUCUACACUAU